rnacentral:rRNA from 1 species
AGUGUACAUAGAAGUACACGAGCAACGGAAGUUAAAAAAUCAAGCCAGUUUGACAGUAAAAGCAAGCGGGACAUUUGAGGAUGGGGUGACUGCGUACCUUUUGUAUAAUGGGUCAGCGACUUAUAUUCUGUAGCAAGGUUAACCGUAUAGGGGAGCCGUAGGGAAACCGAGUCUUAACUGGGCGAAUGAGUUGCAGGGUAUAGACCCGAAACCCGGUGAUCUAUCCAUGGGCAGGUUGAAGGUUGGGUAACACUAACUGGAGGACCGAACCGACUAAUGUUGAAAAAUUAGCGGAUGACUUGUGGCUGGGGGUGAAAGGCCAAUCAAACCGGGAGAUAGCUGGUUCUCCCCGAAAGCUAUUUAGGUAGCGCCUCGUGAACUCAUCUUCGGGGGUAGAGCACUGUUUCGACUAGGGGGUCAUCCCGACUUACCAACUCGAUGCAAACUACGAAUACCGAAGAAUGUUAUCACGGGAGACACACGGCGGGUGCUAACGUUCGUCGUGAAGAGGGAAACAACCCAGACCGCCAGCUAAGGUCCCAAAGUCAUAGUUAAGUGGGAAACGAAGUGGGAAGGCUCAGACAGCCAGGAUGUUGGCUUAGAAGCAGCCAUCAUUUAAAGAAAGCGU